UCCAGUCCUUAUCUGAGCAAAACUCCCAUGGAUUUCCACGGUCAUUUUGCCUGACAACAGGGCGUUUGCAAAAUCAGGGAACAAAGAUUGUUCUCACCAGCAGCUGAGUCAAAUGGUACGGUAGCUGCAGUUACAUGAUUAUCUCAGUUUAUCUUAUUUAUAGAUCUUUAUGGAUGUAGCCUCUUCGCUGUGCCAAAAGAUCAGAUUGUAAGUGCUAGUCCAACUAAAGGUUCCUGCAGGUCAACCCCGCUCAGAGCACGCCUGAAUUUAGCUCUUCAGUUUCUCCGGGAACGAACGCACAGGGAUGUAUUUUUCUACCUGUACAAGGAUGCAAUGACACUUUUUACUGCUGCUCUUGUUAUUCUAUUAGCACUUCACAAGGAGCGGCUUCGCUUUCAGUGAUAAAGUAACACAAUAAACAGACAACACAAUGCUGUCAUUCUUUCCACAUCAAAUGAGGGAACUGGUUUCUUUGACUUUUUUUUUUUUUUUUUUUUUUUUUAAGGGUGAUAUUGAGGAAAACAGUUCCUGGAAAGCAGGGUCUCGCUAACUGGUUGAGUGUUUGUGGUGUUUUUGAAUGAGUUGGGGUUUGCUGAGCUACCACCACGCCAAGCAAACGUAACAUCGCCACGGUGCGUGUCGCACCGGACUUAACGUUCAUCCGGCCGCCGCAAACGGCGCUUCUGCAGGGAGCCGCGCUCACACGCCGAAGCCCCUCGUCUGCCCCCCCGCCAGGCCACGGCCCCGCUUUGCGGGGCAGCGCCGGGCUGGCUCUCCCUGCCUUUCCCGCGGGUGAAAACGGGGCGUCUGACGCAGCGGGGGUGGGGGUCCCACGAAAGCUAAGACUUCAUGAAAAACCUCUCUCCGGGGAUUGUCAGCAACAAAACAACAGCCGCCGCAUUAUCUCUUUGCUCAAGGCAGACACAGGUUCACCCAGA